AAAAAAAUUUGGCCUGUACACACACACACACACACACAUGUAUAUUCAAAACAUAUAUAUAAAAAGAAUUGGCCACACACACACACAUGUAAAUUGGCCACACACACACAUGUAUAUUCAAAACAUAUAUAUAAAAAAAAUUGGCCUGUACACACACACACACACGUGUAUAUUCAAAACAUAUAUAUAAAAAAAAUUGGCCUGUAAAAAAAAUUGGCCUGUCACCUUUUCCAAAAUGGCGUUACCUUGCCUCUUGCGUAAGGCGAUAGAAGAGUUCGUUGCCUUAGCCUAUAUAACACUGGACUUAGUCUAAACUUUAAAGCACAAACUAUAAAUGCCAUAUACAACACAAACUCAACAUAUACAAUGAGCCUAAAUGGCCAUUUGCAUACAACACAUAGUCUGCAGAUAAUUGAAGACAUAGGCCCACAGAAUAACAACAUUGAACAGAACCACCACACCAUUGGUGAAUCAAGAGACAACCAUAUAAUCAAGAACCAAGAGGCAGGAAUCUGCUAUGGCCUAUGAAUAGCAAAUUGAGAGAAAACCAAAGUGAGACCACAUUAUUUUCCUCUCAGUGAUCAUCUAUUCCCUUCCUUGCUAGAGCUCAAAGAACCAGUGACAUCUUUUGGGUUGUUUGAAGAAUAUGAAAAAAUGAAGAAGAUUUCAAGAAGGAUGAGUGGGAAUGGGAAGAAGAGAGGUUAGGCAAAUGAGAGACAUAUCAAGUUACGUAUAUGGGGCCUAUCAAAACUGUUAAGUAUCCUACAUUGGUGUGUGAUGG
rnacentral:lncRNA from 1 species